rnacentral:rRNA from 1 species
AAAAGAAAAUUGAAUUUAUUAAGUGAAAUUUUAUAAUUCAAAAUAUUUUUAUAAAAAAUAAUUGAAGCUAAAAAAUUUUUUUAAAAAACUAGGAUUAGAUACCCUAUUAUUUAAAAUGUAAAUAUAAAUAUUAAAGUAGUAAUAGUUAUGUUCUUGAAACUUAAAAAAUUUGGCGGUAUUUUAGUCUAUCCAGAGGAACCUGUUUUGUAAUCGAUAAUCCACGAUGGACCUUACUUAAAUUUGUAAUCAGUUUAUAUACCGUCGUUAUCAGAAUAUUUUAUAAGAAUAAUAAUAUUCAAUAAUUUUAAUAAAAAUUUAUAUUCAGAUCAAGGUGUAGCUUAUAUUUAAGUAAUAAUGGGUUACAAUAAAAUUAUUUAUACGGAUAAAAUUAUGAAAAAGUUUUUGAAGGUGGAUUUGGUAGUAAAAUUAUAAAGAUAAAUAAUUUGAUUUUAGCUCUAAAAUAUGUACACAUCGCCCGUCGCUCUUAUUAUUAAGGUAAGAUAAGUCGUAACAUAGUAGAUGUACUGGAAAGUGUAUCUAGA